AGAACUCCGGACAGGCCGUUGUGCAUCGAGGUGGAACUUCGGUUCAAUGCUAACAUAGCAAGACUCGAGAGCGAACUCAAUGAUGUGGUAGAUGCUUUCUCUGAAAAGGAAGAACGGGUCUGCACACUGGUGGAUGUUAUGAAGCACAUACAAGGCAACGUUGGGCACAGUCUGAUAAAUGAGACGGAAUUGCCUGGUGAUGAGCUUAAAAUAUCAGCGCGUCACAUUUACUGCACUCCUGACAAAGUCUGCGUUUUUGCUGGCAGCCAAGCCGAAGUCAUCUCUGUCUCC
rnacentral:lncRNA from 1 species